UCCAUUGAACAUAGCUCAGUCAGUAGAGCAUGAGACUCUUAAUCUCAGGGUUGUGGGUUCGAUCCCAAGGCAGGGAA